CCUACGGGAGGCUGCAGUGAGGAAUAUUGGUCAAUGGCCGAGAGUCUGAACCAGCCAAGUAGCGUGAAGGAUGAAUGCCCUAUGGGUUGUAAACUUCUUUUAUCAGGGAAUAAAACGAGGCACGUGUGCCUUUUUGCAUGUACUUGAUGAAUAAGGAUCGGCUAACUCCGUGCCAGCAGCCGCGGUAAUACGGAGGAUCCGAGCGUUAUCCGGAUUUAUUGGGUUUAAAGUGAGCGUAGAGUGGUUGUUAAGUCAGUUGUUAAAGUUUGUGGCUCAACCGUAAAAUUGCACUUGAAACUGGCAGUCUUGAGUACAGUAGAGGUGAGCGGAAUUCGUGGUGUAGCGGUGAAAUGCUUAGAUAUCACGAAGAACUCCGAUUGCGAAGGCAGUUCACUGGACUGCAACUGACACUGAGGCUCGAAAGUGUGGGUAUCAAACAGGAUUAGAUACCCCUGUAGUC
rnacentral:rRNA from 1 species